rnacentral:lncRNA from 1 species
CUUUGGAGUCUCGUGGAGAUCUCAAAAUCAUUAGUUUGUGGUCUUCAUAGUGGUAUAUGACUUCUGAUAUUUUCUUUAUAUGCUUGAUUUUGUGAUUUGAUUGUAAUCAUCAAGGGGUUCCUUGGGUUUUUGAGUUUCGGAGGUUGUAUUUAAAUGUUAUACCUUAUUUUCAUUAUUAUAUGCAUGUUAAAAAAUUUUGAAAUCUAUAUUCUGCUGC